GACGAACGUUGGCGGCGUGCUUAACACAUGCAAGUCGAACGGAAAGGCCCUGCUUUUGUGGGGUGCUCGAGUGGCGAACGGGUGAGUAACACGUGAGUAACCUGCCCUUGACUUUGGGAUAACUUCAGGAAACUGGGGCUAAUACCGGAUAGGAGCUCCUGCUGCAUGGUGGGGGUUGGAAAGUUUCGGCGGUUGGGGAUGGACUCGCGGCUUAUCAGCUUGUUGGUGGGGUAGUGGCUUACCAAGGCUUUGACGGGUAGCCGGCCUGAGAGGGUGACCGGCCACAUUGGGACUGAGAUACGGCCCAGACUCCUACGGGAGGCAGCAGUGGGGAAUAUUGCACAAUGGGCGGAAGCCUGAUGCAGCAACGCCGCGUGCGGGAUGACGGCCUUCGGGUUGUAAACCGCUUUCGCCUGUGACGAAGCGUGAGUGACGGUAAUGGGUAAAGAAGCACCGGCUAACUACGUGCCAGCAGCCGCGGUGAUACGUAGGGUGCGAGCGUUGUCCGGAUUUAUUGGGCGUAAAGGGCUCGUAGGUGGUUGAUCGCGUCGGAAGUGUAAUCUUGGGGCUUAACCCUGAGCGUGCUUUCGAUACGGGUUGACUUGAGGAAGGUAGGGGAGAAUGGAAUUCCUGGUGGAGCGGUGGAAUGCGCAGAUAUCAGGAGGAACACCAGUGGCGAAGGCGGUUCUCUGGGCCUUUCCUGACGCUGAGGAGCGAAAGCGUGGGGAGCGAACAGGCUUAGAUACCCUGGUAGUCCACGCUGUAAACGGUGGGUACUAGGUGUGGGGUCCAUUCCACGGGUUCCGUGCCGUAGCUAACGCUUUAAGUACCCCGCCUGGGGAGUACGGCCGCAAGGCUAAAACUCAAAGGAAUUGACGGGGCCCCGCACAAGCGGCGGAGCAUGCGGAUUAAUUCGAUGCAACGCGUAGAACCUUACCUGGGUUUGACAUGGAUCGGGAGUGCUCAGAGAUGGGUGUGCCUCUUUUGGGGUCGGUUCACAGGUGGUGCAUGCCUGUCGUCAGCUCGUGUCGUGAGAUGUUGGGUUAAGUCCCGCAACGAGCGCAACCCUUGUUCACUGUUGCCAGCACGUUAUGGUGGGGACUCAGUGGAGACCGCCGGGGUCAACUCGGAGGAAGGUGGGGAUGACGUCAAGUCAUCAUGCCCCUUAUGUCCAGGGCUUCACGCAUGCUACAAUGGCUGGUACAGAGAGUGGCGAGCCUGUGAGGGUGAGCGAAUCUCGGAAAGCCGGUCUCAGUUCGGAUUGGGGUCUGCAACUCGACCUCAUGAAGUCGGAGUCGCUAGUAAUCGCAGAUCAGCAACGCUGCGGUGAAUACGUUCCCGGGGCC
rnacentral:rRNA from 1 species